GAUGAACGCUAGCUACAGGCUUAACACAUGCAAGUCGAGGGGAAACGAUAUUGGAAGCUUGCUUCCGAUAGGCGUCGACCGGCGCACGGGUGAGUAACGCGUAUCCAACCUGCCCGUCACUUGGGAAUAACCUUGCGAAAGUAAGACUAAUGCCCAAUGACAUUUAUAGAAGGCAUCUGAAAUGAAUUAAAGAUUUAUCGGUGAUGGAUGGGGAUGCGUCUGAUUAGCUUGUUGGCGGGGUAACGGCCCACCAAGGCGACGAUCAGUAGGGGUUCUGAGAGGAAGGUCCCCCACAUUGGAACUGAGACACGGUCCAAACUCCUACGGGAGGCAGCAGUGAGGAAUAUUGGUCAAUGGGCGCAAGCCUGAACCAGCCAAGUAGCGUGAGGGAAGACUGCCCUACGGGUUGUAAACCUCUUUUGUUUGGGAAUAAAGUGCGGGACGUGUCCCGCAUUGCAUGUACCAUUUGAAUAAGGACCGGCUAAUUCCGUA
rnacentral:rRNA from 1 species